UUAAUAUAUAUAUGGUUGUGAAAUUUAUGGUUAAUUACCAAGUUUUAAAGAAUAUGUUGUUCAAAUAUUUGUUGGCCUGGUACAAUCAAAAACAAUUCAAAAAGAGUUUCAUAUCAUUUUCAUAAAAAUAAUUUUAUUUGUAUAAUUGUAUAUAUAGAAACAAUUCAAUUUCUUUAUUUGUACGGUACAUACCAAUUUGAUAAUAUGAUAUUUUUUUUUCAAUAUACAAGUUUCUUUAUC
rnacentral:lncRNA from 1 species